rnacentral:misc_RNA from 1 species
GCAAAUUGGGCAACUGAUUUGUA